CUUGGUCAUUUAGAGGAAGUAAAAGUCGUAACAAGGUUUCCGUAGGUGAACCUGCGGAAGGAUCAUUACAGAGAAACUUGCCCUACGGGGUAGAUCUCCCACCCUUUGUUUAUCGUACCUUGUUGCUUUGGCAGGCCCGCUCUUCGAGCCACUGGCUUUUAGCUGGUCAGCGCCUGCCAGCAGCCUUAUUAAAAUUCUUUUUUAACUGUGUCGUCUGAGUAACUUUUUAAAUUAUUAAAAACUUUCAACAACGGAUCUCUUGGUUCUGGCAUCGAUGAAGAACGCAGCGAAAUGCGAUAAGUAAUGCGAAUUGCAGAAUUCAGUGAGUCAUCGAAUCUUUGAACGCAUAUUGCGCCCUUUGGUAUUCCGAAGGGCAUGCCUGUUCGAGCGUCAUUAUCAACCAUCAAGCUUGGCUUGUUGUUGGACUUAUUGGCUGGGGGACACCCUGACCGGUCCGAAAGAUAAUGAACGGGUGCUCAGCGGCCUUGGAUGCAACGAGCUUUCUAAGCACGCAUUGAACGGUCGUGAGGCCCGGUCUUCUCUAUUAAUUUUUUCUAUGGUUGACCUCGGAUCAGGUAGGAAUACCCGCUGAACUUAAGCAUAUCAAUAAGCGGAGGA
rnacentral:rRNA from 1 species